rnacentral:misc_RNA from 1 species
UACGUAGGGGGCAAACGUUGUCCGGAAUUAUUGGGCGUAAAGCGCACGCAGGCGGCCUGUCAAGUCAGAUGUGAAAUACAUCGGCUUAACCGAGGAACUGCAUUUGAAACUGGCAGGCUAGAGUGCAGGAGAGGGAAGUGGAAUUCCUAGUGUAGCGGUGAAAUGCGCAGAUAUUAGGAAGAACACCGGUGGCGAAGGCGGCUUCCUGGACUGCAACUGACGCUGAGGUGCGAAAGCUAGGGGAGCGAACAGG